UGGUGGAGUGAUUUGUCUGGUUAAUUCCGUUAACGAACGAGACCGCUGCCUGCUAAAUAGACCCGUGAGUGUUCUAUACUGACGUAGUCUUCUUAGAGGGACGUGCAUUCUAUUAGAUGCAGGAGGAUAGCGGCAAUAACA
rnacentral:rRNA from 1 species